GGACAAGUUGGAAGCAAUGAGAAUUCAAGGAAAAAUGGGCGCUUUAAUGAAUUCGAGCUAGUAGCGCAACCGGCCAGCACUUAC
rnacentral:ncRNA from 2 species